ACGCUAUAACGGUAGUGCAAUGGUUAGCAUACGCCCUCGGGGAGUGAGAUCUGGGUUCGAAUCCCGGCUGACGCA